rnacentral:rRNA from 1 species
AUUGAACGCUGGCGGCAUGCCUUACACAUGCAAGUCGAACGGCAGCACGGGUGCUUGCACCUGGUGGCGAGUGGCGAACGGGUGAGUAAUACAUCGGAACAUGUCCUGUAGUGGGGGAUAGCCCGGCGAAAGCCGGAUUAAUACCGCAUACGAUCUACGGAUGAAAGCGGGGGACCUUCGGGCCUCGCGCUAUAGGGUUGGCCGAUGGCUGAUUAGCUAGUUGGUGGGGUAAAGGCCUACCAAGGCGACGAUCAGUAGCUGGUCUGAGAGGACGACCAGCCACACUGGGACUGAGACACAGCCCAGACUCCUACGGGAGGCAGCAGUGGGGAAUUUUGGACAAUGGGCGAAAGCCUGAUCCAGCAAUGCCGCGUGUGUGAAGAAGGCCUUCGGGUUGUAAAGCACUUUUGUCCGGAAAGAAAUCCUUGGCUCUAAUACAGUCGGGGGAUGACGGUACCGGAAGAAUAAGCACCGGCUAACUACGUG